GAUAGCAACGUGGGGCGCGGCCGCAGCGCUGUGGGUAGGGCCGGAGCGUGGGGCCGUCCGAGAGGGUGGGUCCAGUGCCUCGAGCGUGGGGCGGGACAAGGACCCGGGAGCAGGCUAUGCGAAAUUGCAGUCCCCUCCCAGCAGGGCAUCUGCGUCCGGGAGGGUGGUCUGUGGAGACACCCCUGCGAAGGUCCCUGAGGAACUGUGGCCACCAGGGAGACUUGGCCUGGUGCACUGAGCGGUCAGGCGGCUCUCUUGGGCACUGCGAGGCGCACACCACGUCUCAGCCCUUUUCUGCUGCCCACACGGGUGUCCACCAGCCCGGGUCUCCCCAAGUUAGCACCCACAGGCCAGGCCCGCACCCAACCAGUCUCCCACCCCUGCAGAGGGAGCAUCUCGUGCAUGGGCGGGCAGGGUGGCCAGGGGGACUGGAGACCUCGCUCGGGGACUGCCUGGCCGGCCCUGCACAGGAGAACCCUCGCAGGACGUCCAACAACUGCCCACAGCAUUGAAGGAAGCAGGUGUGCGGGAGUUGGGCGGUUGGAAGGCACAGCCAGGCUGACCUGGAGCUGACCCUUGACCAGAGCAGAAGUCCUGACUGGGGGCUCCAUGAGCCAUGGGCCAUCCUCCCACCCAGCUGCCCACCGGUGGUGCCUUGCCUGGGGUGAGCAGGUAUGGAGGGAGAACCAGCACCCAGCCAUUGCCAGCCUGACAAGUCUCAAAUAGCAUCCGAUACCCGGGGUUUUGUAGGAAAGGGGGGCAGCGAGGGAUGAGGGCCACUGGGGAAGCAUCCCCAGCCUACCAAGAGCCCAGGUCACCCAGGGCCAUCACUAUGCCUCAGGGCAGGCUGGGCAAGGCUGGGGCUGUAGAUGAGGAGCCUGCAGUACUGAAUGCACACUGGCCCCACUAGGGUCAUGGCACUGGGGGGUCACUCUCACCCACAUCUAGCUGGGAUGGCCCCAGGCUCCACCCUGCUCAGCCUAGGAGUCUUAGAGGAGACAAGGCAUAGCCGGUGGCCUUCAAGGCACAGCAAGGUCUCUCUGGGGUGUGGGAGUCCUGGGUGGGCUGGAGAGACAGCAAGAAUUCCCAGAUAUUGGCCCUCAGGUUGCCUCCCCACUCCCAGGCACAGGUCCCCAGUGCUUGCCUUGGUUCUGCGGAGCUGCUGCUGUGGCCAGGCCAGGCUCCCGGGGCUGUGUCCAUGUCCAUCCUCCUCCUGGCCCAUGGCGGCAGGUGUCCCCAGGCCCUGGGACCACAACAGGGCCCUCGGGCCCCUGGCUCCUUGGGGCCCCAGCCCUGCAGGGACAGGAAGGGAGUCAGAAGGCCUGCUACAGUGGAUUACAACUGUGGGCAUGAAGGGGAGAUUGAGCAGGGUGGGAGUGGGGACAGACCAGAGGAGGGAGCUCAGGGAAGGCUCUGAAGAGGAGGAGGCGGAGAGGGCAAAAGUGGGGGCCUGCGGUGGAGAGGGAGACCUGACGGGGACUGUGUCAGCCUCCCACAGAUGAAACCAGACAAAGAGCCACAGGGGCCUCCCUUCUGAAGGGCUGAGUUCCUCGACGGAGCACCCGCUUUUCGCUUUCCCAGUGAGGGGCACUGGAGUUUGCCAGCAGAGGCUUGGGUUUAACUGUGGAUAAUAUUUGUUCAGGAGUUCCAUGAGCCACGUGAAGAACUUAAGACCAGAAGUGAAAUUCUUUUCUUCAACUUAGACACAAAAUGAAUACUCUGAAAUAAAGUGGACUUUGGCGGCUUA